GAGGAUAUAGCUUGGUGAUAGAACACAUGCUUCACAUGCAUGAGAUCCUGGAUUCAAUCCCCAGUACCUCCA
rnacentral:tRNA from 1 species